ACCCUUUAAUGUUUGAUGUUCUAACGUGGACCCGUAAUCCGGGUUGCGGACAGUGUCUGGUGGGUAGUUUGACUGGGGCGGUCUCCUCCUAAAGAGUAACGGAGGAGCACGAAGGUUGGCUAAUCCUGGUCGGACAUCAGGAGGUUAGUGCAAUGGCAUAAGCCAGCUUGACUGCGAGCGUGACGGCGCGAGCAGGUGCGAAAGCAGGUCAUAGUGAUCCGGUGGUUCUGAAUGGAAGGGCCAUCGCUCAACGGAUAAAAGGUACUCCGGGGAUAACAGGCUGAUACCGCCCAAGAGUUCAUAUCGACGGCGGUGUUUGGCACCUCGAUGUCGGCUCAUCACAUCCUGGGGCUGAAGUAGGUCCCAAGGGUAUGGCUGUUCGCCAUUUAAAGUGGUACGCGAGCUGGGUUUAGAACGUCGUGAGACAGUUCGGUCCCUAUCUGCCGUGGGCGCUGGAGAACUGAGGGGGGCUGCUCCUAGUACGAGAGGACCGGAGUGGACGCAUCACUGGUGUUCGGGUUGUCAUGCCAAUGGCACUGCCCGGUAGCUAAAUGCGGAAGAGAUAAGUGCUGAAAGCAUCUAAGCACGAAACUUGCCCCGA
rnacentral:rRNA from 30 species